UACGAAGGGGGCUAGCGUUGCUCGGAAUCACUGGGCGUAAAGGGUGCGUAGGCGGGUUUUAAGUCAGGGGUGAAAUCCUGGAGCUCAACUCCAGAACUGCCUUUGAUACUGAAGAUCUUGAGUCCGGGAGAGGUGAGUGGAACUGCGAGUGUAGAGGUGAAAUUCGUAGAUAUUCGCAAGAACACCAGUGGCGAAGGCGGCUCACUGGCCCGGUACUGACGCUGAGGCACGAAAGCGUGGGGAGCAAACAGG
rnacentral:rRNA from 1 species